CACGCAAGAGCCAGAGAGAUGUCCAGGUGAAGGUGACAGUCAGAUGCUACAGUUAUUUGCUGAAAGAGUCAAGAAGCUGGAARGAGUUGACA